rnacentral:rRNA from 1 species
AAGGGCCCAAACGGGGAAGGGGUUCCCCCGAGGGGCUCCCUGAAAAAGGGGGCUUUUCCUUGGUCUAAAAACCCUCGGGAAUAAGAGGGGGGCAAGACUGGUGUCAGCCGCCGCGGUAACACCAGCCCCUCGAGUGGUGGGGAUGAUUAUUUGGCCUAAAGCGUCCGUAGCCGGCCGGGUAAGUCUCCCGUUAAAUCCAGCGUCUCAAGCGUUGGACUGCGGGAGAUACUGCCUGGCUAGAGAGUGGGAGAGGUGUACGGUAUUCUGGGGGUAGGGGCGAAAUCCUUUGAUCCCCGGAGGACCACCAGUGGCGAAGGCUGUACACUAGAACACGUCUGACGGUCAGGGACGAAAGCUGGGGUAGCGAACCGGAUUAGGUACCCGGGUAGUCCCAGCCGUAAACGAUGCAUGCUAGGUGUUGGGUUGGCCACGAGCCACCCCAGUGCCGCAGGGAAGCCGUUAAGCAUGCCGCCUGGGAAGUACGAUCGCAAGAUUGAAACUUAAAGGAAUUGGCGGGGGA